AACACUGACGUCGCGACGCAUAUCAAUAAGCGGAGGAAAAGCUGUUACCUACGCUUAGGAUGUUGAUCUACAGAGCGAGAGUACACUGACGUCGCGACGCAUAUCAAUAAGCGGAGGAAAAGAAACUAACAAGGAUUCCCUUAGUAACGGCUGAGUGAAGCGGGAAGAGCUCAAAUUUGAAAUCUUCAAGGUUCUACCUUGACGAAUUGUAGUUUAAAGAAGUGUUUUCUGUUAGUGGAGUGGCAAAAGUUCUUUGGAAUAGGACAUCAUAGAGGGUGAGAAUCCCGUAUUUGGUCAUUCCUUCUAGCUUUGUGAUACACUUUCAAAGAGUCGGAUUGUUUGGGAAUGCAGUCCAAAAUGGGUGGUAAAUUUCAUCUAAAGCUAAAUAUUGGCGAGAGACCGAUAGCGAACAAGUAGCCGUGAGGGAAAGAUGAAAAGAACUUUGAAAAGAGAGUUAAACAGUACGUGAAAUUGUCAAAAGGGAAGCGUUUGACACCAGUGUUGUUUUUCCGAAAAUCAAUUAUAGAUGUUUUGUUUCUGAGGAGUGAUGACUUCAUCGGCUUCCUUCUCUCUUUACGAAACUUUUGUAAUGCACUUUUCGGUUAACAAGUCAACAUCAAUUUCUUUUGUUGUAAAAGAGUAUUCGGAAGGUGGCUUUCUUUUCGGAGAAAGUGUUUAUAGCCCUAUACUUCUACAAUCGGAGAGAUUGAGGUCUGCAGCGUAGAUCCUUCGGGGUUAGAUACACUUGUGCUAAGUUAUAGCUUUUCAUAGACAACUUGUUGACUAUGUUUAGUCUUGUAGCUUACUCGCUUGUGCUAUUUUACCUACGCUUAGGAUGUUGAGUCGUAGAGCACGCAG
rnacentral:rRNA from 1 species